UGCAAUGGCAUAAGCCAGCUUGACUGCGAGCGUGACGGCGCGAGCAGGUGCGAAAGCAGGUCAUAGUGAUCCGGUGGUUCUGAAUGGAAGGGCCAUCGCUCAACGGAUAAAAGGUACUCCGGGGAUAACAGGCUGAUACCGCCCAAGAGUUCAUAUCGACGGCGGUGUUUGGCACCUCGAUGUCGGCUCAUCACAUCCUGGGGCUGAAGUAGGUCCCAAGGGUAUGGCUGUUCGCCAUUUAAAGUGGUACGCGAGCUGGGUUUAGAACGUCGUGAGACAGUUCGGUCCCUAUCUGCCGUGGGCGCUGGAGAACUGAGGGGGGCUGCUCCUAGUACGAGAGGACCGGAGUGGACGCAUCACUGGUGUUCGGGUUGUCAUGCCAAUGGCACUGCCCGGUAGCUAAAUGCGGAAGAGAUAAGUGCUGAAAGCAUCUAAGCACGAAACUUGCCCCGAGAUGAGUUCUCCCUGAGACUUAGAGUCUCCUGAAGGAACGUUGAAGACGACGACGUUGAUAGGCCGGGUGUGUAAGCGCAGCGAUGCGUUGAGCUAACCGGUACUAAUGAACCGUGAGGCUUAACCUUACA
rnacentral:rRNA from 1 species